GAUGAACGCUGGCGGCGUGCUUAACACAUGCAAGUCGAACGAUAAGUUAAGACGGACGCCUUCGGGCGGAGGGCUUUAUUUCGAUUGGCGGACGGUAGACUAACGCUGAGUUAGCCUUCCUCAUACAGGAGGGUAACAGUUAGAAACUACUGUUACUACCGCAUAAGACCACAGCACCGCAUGGUGCGGUGGUAAAAACUCCGGUGGUAUGAUAUGAACCCGCGGUUGAUUAAGUAGUUGGCGGGGUAACGGACGACGAACGCGACGAUCGGGGGCCGAGGGGAGAGGAGGCCCGGUCACAUUGGGACUGAGACCCGGCCCAAACUCCAACGGGAGGCAGCAGAGGGGAAUAUAGCGGAAUGGGGGAAACCCUGAGGCAGCGACGGCGCGUGAGUGAAGAAGUAUUUCGGUAUGUAAAGCACUAUGAGAAGGGCAGAAAAUGACGGUACCUGAGGAAGAAGCCCCGGCUAACUACGUG
rnacentral:rRNA from 1 species